rnacentral:precursor_RNA from 7 species
GGUUGGAGCUCGAGCGCUGGGCUGGGGCUCAGACUGGAGCUUGGAGCGGUGAGCUGGACUCGGGCUUGCGCUCCGAUCUCUGAGCUGGGCUCUUGCCCGGAAUCCCAGCGCUUGACUG